CACCUGCCGGCGACCGGCGCACGGGUGAGUAACACGUAUGGAACCUGCCCGCCACAGGGGGAUAACCCGGGGAAACCCGGCCUAAUACCCCAUGCCGCCCGGACCGGGCAUCUGGUCCGGGCGAAAGGAGGAAUCCGGUGGCGGCUGGGCAUGCGGCGCAUUAGCUUGACGGCGGGGUAACGGCCCACCGUGGCGACGAUGCGUAGGGGUUCUGAGAGGAAGGUCCCCCACACUGGUACUGAGACACGGACCAGACUCCUACGGAAGGCAGCAG
rnacentral:rRNA from 1 species